UACGGAGGGGGCUAGCGUUGUUCGGAAUUACUGGGCGUAAAGAGCGCGCAGGCGGUCGUUCAAGUCGAGUGUGAAAGCCCCCGGCUCAACUGGGGAGGGUCACUCGAUACUGAUCGACUCGAAGGCAGAAGAGGGAAGCGGAAUUCCCGGUGUAGUGGUGAAAUGCGUAGAUAUCGGGAGGAACACCAGUGGCGAAGGCGGCUUUCUGGUCUGCUCUUGACGCUGAGGCGCGAAAGCUAGGGUAGCAAACAGG
rnacentral:rRNA from 1 species